GCCAGGCAUGGUGGCGUGUGCCUAUAAUCCUAGCUACUGGGAGGGCUAAGGCAAGAGGAUUGCUUGAUCCCAGGAGUUCGAGGCUGCAGUGAGCUAUGAUUAUGCCACUGCACUCCAGCCUGGGCAACAGAGCAAGACCUUAUCUCUU
rfam:Pongo abelii chromosome 7.